rnacentral:rRNA from 1 species
UAUUGGACUACCAUGGCUUUAACGGGUAACGGAGGAUUAGGGUUCGAUUCCGGAGAGGGAGCCUGAGAAACGGCUACCACAUCUAAGGAAGGCAGCAGGCGCGUAAAUUACCCAAUCGCGACUCGCGGAGGUAGUGACAAGAAAUAACGGACCGAAGCCUAUGUUUCGGGAUUGCAAUGAGUAGAAUUUAAACCCCUUUACGAGGAUCAAUUGGAGGGCAAGUCUGGUGCCAGCGGCCGCGGUAAUUCCAGCUCCAAUAGCGUAUAUUAAAGUUGUUGCAGUUAAAAAGCUCGUAGUUGGACUUCUGGGAGGGUGCCAAUGUCCGCUCGUUAGCGUGUGCGGCGGCGCCCUUCCAUCCUUCUGUUAACGUUUCUUGGUAUUCAGUUACUGGUUUCGGGCUCAGAUAUUUUACCUUGAGAAAAUUAGAGUGUUCCAGGCAGGCUUGCGCCGGAAUACAUUAGCAUGGAAUAAUAGAAUAGGACUUUAGUCUCCUUUGUUGGUUUGAGGGACUGAAGUAAUGAUUAAUAGGGAUAGUUGGGGGCAUUAGUAUUUAAUUGUCAGAGGUGAAAUUCUCGGAUUUGUUAAAGACUAACUUAUGCGAAAGCA